AGGGGUGGCCUCGUGAAACGCAUUUCCCGUGUUCCAACUCUCUCUCAAGCAUCCCUCUUCUCCUCUCCGAUCUACUCCUCCACCGUCUCCACCGCUAAGGUUGAACCGUCUCUUCCCCAUCUUCCUUCCCCUCAGCCUCCUCCUCCCUCCCAAUAUCAUCUUAAAUAGGAGUUACAGAAACCCCUAGCCGCCCUUAAGAAAAAUUGGCGCCUUCUCCGGCGUCACUAGGUCGCUUGAUCGCUUUGUUUAUGGUUUUGUGCCUUUGACGAGGAGGUGGUUAUCUUCUUCUCUUGAGGAUGGUCGGAAAUAUGAGAGAUUGCCAAAUUCCAAAACUUCCACGAACAAAUUGUUAGAAUUGACAUAAAGCUGGCAAAUGAAGAUGUAACUAUGAUUGCAUUACAUCCGAGGAUAUCACAGCCCCUUAAGUUUCUACUUACUGAGAUGGUAACUAAGACAGUGCUUAAGCAGCAAGUUCACAAAUUCAAUCACCGGGUUAUCCGAUAGUCUAGAAUGAGACGACGAAGACGACGAACACGAGCGUAGAUACGAUGACGACGACGACGACGAGACUCGGAGUAGAGCGAUUAGGAUUUGAAUCUUUACAUUAGAAUUGUUUGUAUAAUAAAUUUUAAUGUGUAUGAAGUUAAUUUGGUAUGAAGCAAGUUUCUUUUAAAUUUUAAA